AUGCACGCUGGCGGCGUGCCUAAUACAUGCCAGUCGAGCGAACGGACGAGAAGCUUGCUUCUCUGAUGUUAGCGGCGGACGGGUGAGUAACACGUGGAUAACCUACCUAUAAGACUGGGAUAACUUCGGGAAACCGGAGCUAAUACCGGAUAAUAUUUUGAACCGCAUGGUUCAAAAGUAAAAGACGGUCUUGCUGUCACUUAUAGAUGGAUCCGCGCUGCAUUAGCUAGUUGGUAAGGUAACGGCUUACCAAGGCAACGAUGCAUAGCCGACCUGAGAGGGUGAUCGGCCACACUGGAACUGAGACACGGUCCAGACUCCUACGGGAGGCAGCAGUAGGGAAUCUUCCGCAAUGGGCGAAAGCCUGACGGAGCAACGCCGCGUGAGUGAUGAAGGUCUUCGGAUCGUAAAACUCUGUUAUUAGGGAAGAACAUAUGUGUAAGUAACUGUGCACAUCUUGACGGUACCUAAUCAGAAAGCCACGGCUAACUACGUG
rnacentral:rRNA from 1 species